rnacentral:rRNA from 1 species
AACGAACGCUGGCGGCAGGCUUAACACAUGCAAGUCGAACGCCCCGCAAGGGGAGUGGCAGACGGGUGAGUAACGCGUGGGAAUCUACCUUUUGCUACGGGAUAGCUCCGGGAAACUGGAAUUAAUACCGUAUGUGCCCUUCGGGGGAAAGAUUUAUCGGCAAAGGAUGAGCCCGCGUUGGAUUAGCUAGUUGGUGGGGUAAAGGCCUACCAAGGCGACGAUCCAUAGCUGGUCUAAGAGGAUGAUCAGCCACAUUGGGACUGAGACACGGCCCAAACUCCUACGGGAGGCAGCAGUGGGGAAUAUUGGACAAUGGGCGCAAGCCUGAUCCAGCCAUGCCGCGUGAGUGAUGAAGGCCCUAGGGUUGUAAAGCUCUUUCAGUGGGGACGAUAAUGACGGUACCCACAGAAGAAGCCCCGGCUAACUUCGUGCCAGCCGCCGCGGUAA